rfam:Triticum aestivum genome assembly, contig: Triticum_aestivum_CS42_TGACv1_scaffold_503257_6BL
AAAGUACUCCCUCCGUCCCAAAAUUCUUGUCUUAGAUUUGUCUAGAUAUGGAUGUAUCAAGUCACAUUUUAGUAUUAGAUACAUCCGUAUCUAGACAAAUCUAAGACAAGAAAUUUGGGACAGAGGGAGUAGUUG